rnacentral:rRNA from 1 species
AUGGGCCUGGAUAAGAAGAGCGUGGCCAUAGUUGGCGCCGGCGUGAGUGGGCUGGCGGCGUGCAAGCACCUGCUGGAGCGCGGCUGCCGGCCGGUAGUCUUCGAGGCGGGCGACGCCGUCGGCGGCGUGUGGCCGAACGCCAUGGAGGGGACCAGGCUCCAGGCGCCGCGGCACAUGUACCGGUACUCCGACUUCCCCUGGCCGGACUCGGUGACGGAGAUGUUCCCCAACCAGCGGCAGGUCGCCGACUACCUCCACGCCUACGCGCGCCGCUUCGGCGUGCUCGACUGCGUCAGGCUCGGCCACCGCGUGACCAGCAUGGACUACGUCGGCGUCGCAGAGGAGGAGGUGGUGGCGUGGGAGCAGUGGGCCGGCUGCGGCGAGGCGUUCGGUUCCGGCGACGGGGAGUGGCGCCUCACGGUGGCCGACGCCGAGGGGCACACAGAGGUACACAUGGUAGACUUUGUGAUUCUUUGUACGGGAAGGUUUAGCAAUUAUCCCAGCAUACCCAAAUUCCCUCCCGGUAGAGGCCCAGAAGCAUUUGAUGGGAAAGUGAUCCACUCCAUGGACUACUCCAAAAUGGGUAGCGAGAAAGCUAAGGAGAUGAUCAAGGACAAGUGUGUGACUGUUGUUGGCUAUGGAAAUUCAGCCCUUGACAUUGCUAAUGAAUGUGCAAAUAUAAAUGGUACGGAGAAACCAUGCACAAUGGUAGUCCGAACCAAGCAAUGGAUCAUACCGAACUUCUAUGCUUGGGGUAUUAACAUAUCAAAUUUUUAUCUAACUCGUUUUGCUGAACUCCUUAUUCACAAGCCCGGUGAAGGUUUCCUUCUUAGCAUAUUAGCUACCGUCUUGACUCCAUUGAGGUUGAUGAUUUCAAAGUUUGCUGAGAGCUACUACUCCAUUCCAAUGAAGAAGCAUGAGAUGGUGCCUGACCAUAGCUUUUUUGAGGGGAUGGUGGGAUGUAUGCUUUCCACUACACCCAAGGAUCAUUACAAGAAUUUAGAGGAAGGCAUCAUAGUUAUUAAAAAGUCAAAGACCUUUGGCUUUUGCAAAGAAGGCGUGCUUGUUGAAGGUGAAUCUACGUUGGUAAAGAGUGACAUAGUUAUAUUCGGAACAGGAUUCAAUGGUGAUGAAAACAUCAAGGACAUGUUCAUAUCAAAGUACUUUCAUACUAUUGUCGUUGGCUCAACAUCCACGACAACACCACUUUAUAGGGAGUGCAUACAUCCUAAGAUUCCACAACUUGCGGUCAUCGGAUAUUCUGACAACUAUGCGAAUGUCUACACAUCGGAACUGCGGUCUAAGUGGCUAGCAUAUUUCAUGGAUGGUGGAUUUAGAUUACCAACUGUUAAAGCAAUGCAGAGGGAUGUCCUUGAAUGUGAAAAGGUCAUGAAGCGUUACUCUCGUGAAGAAUCCCGUACACCGUGCAUUGGACUUCUUCCUACUUGGUACAAUGAUAGAUUAUGUGAAGACAUGGGAUGCAACCCAAGAAGGAAGAAUGGAUUUUUUGCCGAAUUAUUUGAGUCCUACGGUCCCGAUGAUUAUAAUGAUCUUCACCCUAAGUAA